CAGCUUGCUAGUUGCUGACGAGUGGCGGACGGGUGAGUAAUGCUUAGGGAUCUGCCUUUAGGAGGGGGAUAACCAUUGGAAACGAUGGCUAAUACCGCAUAAUGUCUACGGACCAAAGGGGGCUUUUAGCUCUCACCUAGAGAGGAACCUAAGUGAGAUUAGCUAGUUGGUGAGGUAAAGGCUCACCAAGGCGACGAUCUCUAGCUGUUCUGAGAGGAAGAUCAGCCACACUGGAACUGAGACACGGUCCAGACUCCUACGGGAGGCAGCAGUGGGGAAUAUUGCACAAUGGGGGAAACCCUGAUGCAGCCAUGCCGCGUGUGUGAAGAAGGCCUUCGGGUUGUAAAGCACUUUCAGUUGUGAGGAAAGGUUAGUAGUUAAUACCUGCUAGCUGUGACGUUAACAACAGAAGAAGCACCGGCUAACUCCGUGCCAGCAGCCGCGGUAAUACGGAGGGUGCGAGCGUUAAUCGGAAUUACUGGGCGUAAAGCGCACGCAGGCGGUUUGUUAAGCUAGAUGUGAAAGCCCCGGGCUCAACCUGGGAUGGUCAUUUAGAACUGGCAGACUAGAGUUUUGGAGAGGGGAGUGGAAUUCCAGGUGUAGCGGUGAAAUGCGUAGAUAUCUGGAGGAACAUCAGUGGCGAAGGCGACUCUCUGGCCAAAGACUGACGCUCAUGUGCGAAAGUGUGGGUAGCGAACAGGAUUAGAUACCCUGGUAGUCCACACUGUAAACGCUGUCUACUAGCUGUUUGUGUAUUUAAUACGUGAGUAGCGAAGCUAACGCGCUAAGUAGACCGCCUGGGGAGUACGGCCGCAAGGUUAAAACUCAAAUGAAUUGACGGGGGCCCGCACAAGCGGUGGAGCAUGUGGUUUAAUUCGAUG
rnacentral:rRNA from 1 species